rnacentral:rRNA from 1 species
CAGUAGCCGCGGUAAUACGAAGGGUGCAAGCGUUAAUCGGAAUUACUGGGCGUAAAGGGUGCGUAGGCGGUUGUUUAAGUCUGUUGUGAAAUCCCCGGGCUCAACCUGGGAAUGGCAAUGGAAACUGGACGGCUAGAGUGUGUCAGAGGAUGGUAGAAUUCCAGGUGUAGCGGUGAAAUGCGUAGAGAUCUGGAGGAAUACCGGUGGCGAAGGCGGCCAUCUGGGACAACACUGACGCUGAAGCACGAAAGCGUGGGGAGCAAACAGGAUUAGAUACCCGCGUAGUCCCUGUCUCUUAUAC